AGGGCAAGUCUGGUGCCAGCAGCCGCGGUAAUUCCAGCUCCAAUAGCGUAUAUUAAAGUUGUUGCAGUUAAAAAGUUCGUAGUUGAAUUUCGGGGUCAGCAGGUUGGUCGUGCCAAUGGUAUGCACUGGCCUUGCUGAUUCCUCCCUCUUGAUGAGCCGUAAUGCCAUUAAUUUGGUGUUGUGGGGAAUCAGGACUGUUACUUUGAAAAAAUUAGAGUGUUUAAAGCAGGCAAGCGCUUGAAUACAUUAGCAUGGAAUAAUGAAAUAGGACGUUCGAUCCUAUUUUGUUGGUUUCUAGGAUUGACGUAAUGAUUAAUAGGGAUAGUUGGGGGCAUUAGUAUUCAAUUGUCAGAGGUGAAAUUCUUGGAUUUAUUGAAGACUAACUACUGCGAAAGCAUUUGCCAAGGAUGUUUUCAUUAAUCAAGAACGAAAGUUAGGGGAUCGAAGACGAUCAGAUACCGUCGUAGUCUUAACCAUAAACUAUGCCGACUAGGGGUCGGAUGAUGUUAAUUUUUUAAUGACUCAUUCGGCGCCUUACGGGAA
rnacentral:rRNA from 1 species